AUUCAAUGUAGGAGGGGACUAUACAAGAUUAAUACCAGGAGGCAUUGUUCUAAAGAAGUCAUUUAUAUGAUUCAGCAGCCAGCAGCCAACAGUCCAAUAACCCUAUGAGCUCUGCUUUCCUCUCCUUGUGGAAUUCCAAAGGCUGUAGUCACAAGAUACCAGCCAGCAGCAAUAACUGGAGAACUUUCUUCCUUGUCUGUGAAAAGAGAGUGACUCUCCCCAAACAGUCUAUCUUUCAAUCCAACUGGACCAACUUAGGCCAUGUUCCUAUUCUUAGCUCAGUAAUACUCACUAGGGAAAUACCCUAAGCCUGUGUUUCUGAAAAUGGUUGGGGAGAGGUGAGGUGACAUUUGGUAAUGUCUGGAGACAUUUAUGGUUGUCACAACUGUGGGGGGUGGGUCCUACUGGUGUCUAGUACAUAGAGGCCAGGGAUACUGCUAAACAUUUUACAAGGCACAGAACAGCUCCCCACCACAAAGAAUUAUAUGGCUCAAAAUAGUACCAGAGUUGAGAAGCCCUGCUUUAAGUUUAUUAUUUUAAGUCUAUAUUCCUAACUAAGCACUGUCAAGAGGAUGAGAUUAUCAUUAUUAGAUUAAAUUUAUCAGAACCUACUACAGCUCUGAAUAGGUUCUGCUUCCCUAGGUACAUUAAGGGCAAACACCUAAACUAAAAGGAAGUGUUACAAGAGGAAAAAGGGGCAUGAUCAACCAAUAGUAUCCAUAAAAGAGCUGAUUAUUUUUGUAAUUGUAAAAGUAUAUAUCUAUUUUAAAAGCAUGGAUAAGCAUCGAAUGUAAAUUCUUUAUAUCAGUAGUUACAUAAUGCAAUUAUUCAUAAUUUUACAUUUUUAUCAGUAUUUUCUACCUUUUAUAGUGAAAUUUUCUCCUUUAAUAUAUUUACAGUGAGAAUUUUUUAUACUAAUUUUUUUACAGUGGACAAUUUCUUGAGUAGCCAUUUUUACAGAAAAUAAGUUUCAAUAGUGUGUCAUCUUGAAAAGGAAAUGUCAAGAGGGAAAAAUUUGUAAGAAUUCUUAGUCGAAUUUUAAUGUUUUUUAGGCUGGGUGCAGUGGCUUACACCUGUAAUCCCAGCACUUUGGGAGGCCAAGGUGGACAGAUUACCUGAGGUCAGGAGCUCGAGACCAUCCUGGACAACAUGGCGAAACCCCAUCUCUACUAAAAAUACAAAAAUUACUUGAGCAUCGUGGUGUGUAUGUGUAAUCCUAGCUACUAGGGAGCCUGAGGCAGGAGAAUUGUUUGAACCCUUGAGGCGGAGGUUGCAGUGAGCCAUGAUCGUGCCACUGCACUCCAGCCUGGAUGACAAAGCAAGACUCUGUCUCAAAAAAAAAAAAAGAUUAAGAAUUUUAAUAAA